UAAAAGUAGGCUUUUCAAAAAAAAAUUAAACGCAUUAAAAACAUGAUAACAGUGUUGAUAAAACCUCCGCAUUCGACUCGAACAAAUAAAUUUACACACACACGCGGUAUAUUUUUAAUAAUAAAAACAUGAAACCUAUCUAGUAGUUACUACACGUAUGCUGUAUUUCAAUCAUGACUUCUCACAAGAAAUGAAGUUGAUUUAUGACUUACACGUAUAAACCCUUGUAAGAAUAAAUUCUCGGAUGUAAAUUUUCUGUAAAAAGUCCAAGAAAUUAUGACGCAUUUAUAUCUACUUCUAGUGCCCACAAAAUCUACUCAGCAACAGCUAUUUAAUCGUAGCUUCUAAUGUACCUUCACAGUGAUUCAAAUUCGAAUACGAAUAUUUAAAAUAUCAAGUGCAAUUCGUGCUAUUCAAUUCGUUCGUUUGUUUUAAAACCGAUAAAAGUUUUGUUUAACUUUUAAAAUUGUUCUCGCAUCAGUAUAGUGUUUAGCAAUGUUUAAGAUAAACAUUGAUAAAGUGAUACUUUUCGUUUCGUGCUUUUUGACCUCUUUGAUAAUGAUCCAAGCAACCGACGAAGGAGAAAUCGUCGGUUGGAAUAACACUAACCAAAGUGAAACCGUAACCUGGCAAUCGGAAGCAUUACAGACAACUCGACAGCAACCGAAUCAAGAAGAAGAAUCAAAAUAUCUGAUGAAUGCGGUGUUUGUGACUGGGUCACUAAUUGUGCUAUUUUCAAUCAUAAUAUGCGCCGGUUGGGGGAUAUAUAGAAGAACCCUGGCAUUCGACGAGGAAGGAUUCGUGGAUCAUUAUGGUAGAUCUCGGCUGAGUGUGGAUACGAGCGCAUCAGCGAGACGAGAAUCCCAAUACAGCUAUGUGUAGACUAACAGCUGAUACAUAGGUAUACAUAUUACCUACUUGCAAUGAGUAUGAAGCAACUGGAGAAGCAUCACUACAUUGCAGAAAUGGAGCUCGUAAAAAAAUGAACGUGACUUACCUACCUGAAGAGAAUUUGCUGUAACUAUGGAUUAUUUGUCUGAAGUAGUCGAGAGCAGAUAAGAAUGGAAACUUAUAUGACUGUUCAAAUUCACUUCCACAUAUUCUAGAGAAAAUAUGAGAAUCCUGAAAAAAAAAUUAAACCAUAUAGAAGGCUAUGCGAAGCACCGAGCGAUUGGAAAUUGAUGUAACGUAUCGAUAGAAGAGAUUCUUAUUGAGUAUCUACUGAAGUACUGAUGACUGAGUCGGGAAAAUAUUUUACCUACACAGUUUUAGAAUAAUUAUACGUUCUAAAAAGACUAUAGGUAUUCAUUAUACUUAGUUUCAUUAUUUAUAGGCAGUAAGUACAUAUUUAGAGAAUCUUCAAGAUUCACCAAUAAUUAAAAAAUAAACUUAAAUAAGGUU